AUCUCUGAGAAUGAGGGGACUGGGUGACUUUGCAGUGUCUGCUUUCUAAGUUUCAAAGUGACUUUCCAGGCAAGCUGCGCAUAUCUUGGGAUCUUCACAGCACAGUGGCUGGGAAGGCAGGCGGACCCGUCUAUCAGCUUCUCCCUGGCGCGUCUCCAAGCAUGUACCACAGCACCCGAGUGUGGGCAGAAGCCCUCGUGCUGAGUGGGAUGAAGCUUUGAAGAGGCUGAGACCUAUGAGAACCGAAGAACCUUUGAAUCUCCCUUCAGCUCCCCUACCCCGACCACAGCCCUCCUCUUGAUGUAAAACAUGUGUUGAACUUGAGAACAAGGAGGCUGGCGUCUGUGCCAGGAAGACUGCGCUGCUUUAAGCUUCUUCGGGGGUUGGAAACAGAUCUACCUCUGAGGUUUGCAUAGCACUCUCCGUGGAAGUCACUAUGGCUGGUUGAGAUGUGGAUUUGUGAGACAGCACCUGAAGCAGUGUGCAUUCCUGUCACUCGACCUGUUGUGUUGGGGAGGAACGCCCAGCUUACCACCAGGAUUAUCUCUGGAGGCUGAAGGCAGAUGCCUGGACUCUCUUGAGAGCAUGUAAAUGUUAAACUGAAAUGUUCAGAAACCAAGAGAAGGAGCCUUCCAGAACAACUGUGUACCCGGAAUAUACACUCUGUAUAGCUGACGUAUUCAUCUACAGGAUAGACCAGAAAAUCUGUCUUCUAGGCUUCCUUCUGCCUCUUCACCAGCUCUGAGAGCCUGAAGAGUCAUGGGGCCUCUUAUCAAAGAAAUGUUGAAAAAUGACUAAGACCACCGCCUUUAAUCCCAGCAUUUAGGAGACAGAGGCAAGCAGCUCUCUGAGUUCCAGAACAGCCAGAAAUGCACAGAGAAAUUCUGCCUCAAAAAAGCCAAACAAACAAAAAACAAAACAAAAGAAAAAGAAAAUAUGGAC
rnacentral:lncRNA from 1 species